CUUAACACAUGCAAGUCGAACGAGAAAGGGAUUGCUUGCAGUCCCGAGUAGAGUGGCGCACGGGUGAGUAACACGUAGAUAAUCUGCCUUCAAGCCUGGGAUAACUAUUCGAAAGGGUAGCUAAUACCGGAUAAAGUCGAUCUACACAAGUAGAUUGAUGAAAGAUUGCCUCUUCUUGAAAGCAAUUGUUUGGAGAUGAGUUUGCGUACCAUUAGCUUGUUGGUGGGGUAAAGGCCUACCAAGGCAACGAUGGUUAGCUGGUCUGAGAGGAUGAUCAGCCACACUGGAACUGGAACACGGUCCAGACUCCUACGGGAGGCAGCAGUGAGGAAUUUUGCGCAAUGGGGGCAACCCUGACGCAGCAACGCCGCGUGAGUGAAGAAGGCCUUUGGGUCGUAAAGCUCUGUCAACAGGGAAGAAGUUACAAUUGUUUAAUAGAUGGUUGUAUUGACGGUACCUGUGGAGGAAGCGCCGGCUAACUCCGUGCCAGCAGCCGCGGUAAUACGGGGGGCGC
rnacentral:rRNA from 1 species